rnacentral:rRNA from 1 species
CCUACGGGAGACAGCAGUGAGGAAUAUUGGUCAAUGGACGAGAGUCUGAACCAGCCAAGUAGCGUGAAGGAUGACUGCCCUAUGGGUUGUAAACUUCUUUUAUAUGGGAAUAAAAUGUUCCACGUGUGGGAUUUUGUAUGUACCAUAUGAAUAAGGAUCGGCUAACUCCGUGCCAGCAGCCGCGGUAAUACGGAGGAUCCGAGCGUUAUCCGGAUUUAUUGGGUUUAAAGGAAGCGUAGGUGGAUUGUUAAGUCAGUUGUGAAAGUUUGCGGCUCAACCGUAAAAUUGCAGUUGAAACUGGCAGUCUUGAGUACAGUAGAGGUGGGCGGAAGUCGUGGUGUAGCGGUGAAAUGCUUAGAUAUCACGAAGAACUCCGAUUGCGAAGGCAGUUCACUGGACUGCAACUGACACUGAGGCUCGAAAGUGUGGGUAUCAAACAGGAUUAGAUACCCCUGUAGUC